ensembl:misc_RNA 7SK 7SK RNA
AGCUGUGACCUGUUACUGACAGCUCUUCCCCAGUGAUCUCUAGGAGACAUUUCUGCUGAUCUGCCUGGCUGGGUGGUGUCCCUCUUUUGUUUUCUUUUGAUGCUCAUUAAGCUCUGCUCUUGCUGGAAGAGGGCAGGGCCAUCCUGAAGACUGAAUCAUUCUUUGUUUCCUGGGUAUACGAGUAGGUGUACCACUAAAUGAGUUCAAGUCCUCUUGUAGGAGAGAGGCAAGGAAUAUGUUACACUCCAUAUCUUCAUCCACAAGUAGCACUGCGUGCGGCAAGUUGGUUACAUUCA